rnacentral:rRNA from 1 species
UGGGGAAUUUUACACAAUGGGGGAAACCCUGAUGUAGCGACACCGCGUGAGCGAAGAAGCCUUUCGGGGUGUAAAGCUCUGUCAGCAGGGACGAAAAAAAUGACGGUACCUGCAGAGGAAGCAUCGGCUAACUACGUGCCAGCAGCCGCGGUAAGACGUAGGAUGCAAGCGUUGUCCGGAUUUAUUGGGCGUAAAGAGUUCGUAGGUGGUUUUAUAAGUCUGGUGUAAAAGGCUGGGGCUCAACCCUGGUACAGCACUGGAUACUGUAAGACUGGAGUGCAGUAGAGGCAAGCGGAAUUCCAGGUGUAGCGGUGAAAUGCGUAGAUAUCUGGAAGAACACCGGUGGCGCAAGCGGCUUGCUGGGCUGUUACUGACGCUGAGGAACGAAAGCUAGGGGAGCAAAUGGGAUUAGAUACCCCCGUAGUCC